rnacentral:rRNA from 1 species
UAAAAAAAGGUAAGCUACUAAGAGCGAAUGGUGGAUGCCUUGACUGGUAAAGGCGAUGAAGGACGUACUAGACUGCGAUAAGCUACGGGGAGCUGUCAAGAAGCUUUGAUCCGUAGAUUUCCGAAUGGGGCAACCCAAUGUAUAGAGAUAUACAUUACCUAUAUAGGAGCGAACGAGGGGAAUUGAAACAUCUUAGUACCCUCAGGAAAAGAAAUCAAUAGAGAUUGCGUCAGUAGCGGCGAGCGAAAGCGCAAGAGGGCAAACCCAGUGCUUGCACUGGGGGUUGUAGGACUGCAAUGUGCAAGAGCUGAGUUUAGCAGAACAUUCUGGAAAGUAUAGCCAUAGAGGGUGAUAGUCCCGUAUGCGAAAAACAAAGCUUAGCUAGCAGUAUCCUGAGUAGGGCGGGACACGAGGAAUCCUGUCUGAAUCCGGGUCGACCACGAUCCAACCCUAAAUACUAAUACCAGAUCGAUAGUGCACAAGUACCGUGAGGGAAAGGUGAAAAGAACUGAGGUGAUCAGAGUGAAAUAGAACCUGAAACCAUUUGCUUACAAUCAUUCAGAGCACUAUGUAGCAAUACAGUGUGAUGGACUGCCUUUUGCAUAAUGAGCCUGCGAGUUGUGGUGUCUGGCAAGGUUAAGCAAACGCGAAGCCGUAGCGAAAGCGAGUCUGAAUAGGGCGCUUAGUCAGAUGCUGCAGACCCGAAACGAAGUGAUCUAUCCAUGAGCAAGUUGAAGCUAGUGUAAGAACUAGUGGAGGACUGAACCCAUAGGCGUUGAAAAGCCCCGGGAUGACUUGUGGAUAGGGGUGAAAGGCCAAUCAAACUUCGUGAUAGCUGGUUCUCUCCGAAAUAUAUUUAGGUAUAGCGUUGUGUCGUAAUAUAAGGGGGUAGAGCACUGAAUGGGCUAGGGCAUACACCAAUGUACCAAACCCUAUCAAACUCCGAAUACCUUAUAUGUAAUCACAGCAGUCAGGCGGCGAGUGAUAAAAUCCGUCGUCAAGAGGGAAACAACCCAGACUACCAGCUAAGGUCCCUAAAUCUUACUUAAGUGGAAAACGAUGUGAAGUUACUUAAACAACCAGGAGGUUGGCUUAGAAGCAGCCAUCCUUUAAAGAAAGCGUAAUAGCUCACUGGUCUAGUGAUUUUGCGCGGAAAAUAUAACGGGGCUAAAGUAAGUACCGAAGCUGUAGACUUGCACACAACUUAGAUUAUUUAAGUUUAGAAUAUGAGAAACUAAGUUAUAUGUUUAGUUAUAUUUUUACUGAUUUUUAUAGAGUAAAGAUAGAAAUAAAACUUAGUAAAAUCAGUAAAAAUAUUCUUAGAUUAAAAGUUAAGUCGUUUAAGUUGUGUGCAAGUGGUAGGAGAGCGUUCUAUUUGCGUCGAAGGUAUACCGAUAAGGAGUGCUGGAGCGAAUAGAAGUGAGCAUGCAGGCAUGAGUAGCGAUAAUUAAUGUGAGAAUCAUUAACGCCGUAAACCCAAGGUUUCCUACGCGAUGCUCGUCAUCGUAGGGUUAGUCGGGUCCUAAGCUGAGUCCGAAAGGGGUAAGCGAUGGCAAAUAGGUUAAUAUUCCUAUACCAACAUUAGUGUGCGAUGGAAGGACGCUUAGGGCUAAGGGGGCUAGCGGAUGGAAGUGCUAGUCUAAGGUCGUAGGAGGUUAUAUAGGCAAAUCCGUAUAACAAUACUCCGAGAACUGAAAGGCUUUUUGAAGUCUUCGGAUGGAAAGAAGAACCCCUGAUGCCGUCGAGCCAAGAAAAGUUUCUAAGUUUAGCUAAUGUUGCCCGUACCGUAAACCGACACAGGUGGGUGGGAUGAGUAUUCUAAGGCGCGUGGAAGAACUCUCUUUAAGGAACUCUGCAAAAUAGCACCGUAUCUUCGGUAUAAGGUGUGCCUCCCUUUGUAUUAGAAUUUACUUCGAAAGCAAAGAAGGUUACAACAAAGAGUCCCUCCCGACUGUUUACCAAAAACACAGCACUCUGCUAACUCGUAAGAGGAUGUAUAGGGUGUGACGCCUGCCCGGUGCUCGAAGGUUAAUUGAUGGGGUUAGCAUUAGCGAAGCUCUUGAUCGAAGCCCGAGUAAACGGCGGCCGUAACUAUAACGGUCCUAAGGUAGCGAAAUUCCUUGUCGGUUAAAUACCGACCUGCAUGAAUGGCGUAACGAGAUGGGAGCUGUCUCAAAGAGGGAUCCAGUGAAAUUGUAGUGGAGGUGAAAAUUCCUCCUACCCGCGGCAAGACGGAAAGACCCCGUGGACCUUUACUACAGCUUGACACUGCUACUUGGAUAAGAAUGUGCAGGAUAGGUGGGAGGCUUUGAGUAUAUGACGCCAGUUGUAUAUGAGCCAUUGUUGAGAUACCACUCUUUCUUAUUUGGGUAGCUAACCAGCUUGAGUUAUCCUCAAGUGGGACAAUGUCUGGUGGGUAGUUUGACUGGGGCGGUCGCCUCCCAAAUAAUAACGGAGGCUUACAAAGGUUGGCUCAGAACGGUUGGAAAUCGUUCGUAGAGUAUAAAGGUAUAAGCCAGCUUAACUGCAAGACAUACAAGUCAAGCAGAGACGAAAGUCGGUCUUAGUGAUCCGGUGGUUCUGUGUGGAAGGGCCAUCGCUCAAAGGAUAAAAGGUACCCCGGGGAUAACAGGCUGAUCUCCCCCAAGAGCUCACAUCGACGGGGAGGUUUGGCACCUCGAUGUCGGCUCAUCGCAUCCUGGGGCUGGAGCAGGUCCCAAGGGUAUGGCUGUUCGCCAUUUAAAGCGGUACGCGAGCUGGGUUCAGAACGUCGUGAGACAGUUCGGUCCCUAUCUGCCGUGGGCGUAAGAAGAUUGAAGAGAUUUGACCCUAGUACGAGAGGACCGGGUUGAACAAACCACUGGUGUAGCUGUUGUUCUGCCAAGAGCAUCGCAGCGUAGCUAAGUUUGGAAAGGAUAAACGCUGAAAGCAUCUAAGCGUGAAGCCAACUCUAAGAUGAAUCUUCUCUAAGCUCUCUAGAAGACUACUAGUUUGAUAGGCUGGGUGUGUAAUGGAUGAAAGUCCUUUAGCUGACCAGUACUAAUAGAGCGUUUGGCUUAUCUUUAAUAAAGCAU